ACCAUAUUAAAUGUGGACUUUCCA
rnacentral:siRNA from 1 species